rnacentral:lncRNA from 1 species
CUGAUUAAUGUCACCAACCCAGUAAAUCAUGGAGAAAGGACUUGGAUGUCUGAAAACAAAUUAUUUUACAAGAGGAAAAGUUAACAAAGAAUGUACAAUGUUUUCUGAAAAUGUGUAAUUCUCUUCAUCGUUUUGAACUAUGACUUCUGGAAAUCCGCUCACUGGUGAUGGAGAUAGUCACGGAAGUAUCACCCAUCAGGACACAAAGACAGGCCCUGAGACUCUGUGGUGACUCGGUGGUAUAAAGCGAAGAGCACUGGACUGCAAAUAAGGAAUCCUGUACUCAAAACCCUGCAUCACAGAAGAGCCUUGCAAAUGAGCAAACCCGUCUCCUUACCUUUACCUACUCUACAAAACAGAAAAUAAAGCCGAUGAAAAUCAUAGAGGUACUAGGUAAUGUGCCUGGCGCCAUGUGUGUUAUGCAGAAUGAACUACUCAACA